CUUUUCUAGUAUAACUAUUACAAAUGACUUCCAAUCAUUAAAUCUUGUAUUAACAAGGAAAAGUA
rnacentral:tRNA from 1 species